AUUGUUACUUUUGGGGACAGAGAUAGGAGGACUUAACACCAUCCGUUUCUCAUGUUUAAACGGCUCCACCCAAUCCUAGAGGAACACCAGACCCACAUGAGACCUCUAUCAGCAGAACUGCUGGUGAAAAUGUGAGGAAUGUCUCUGUCCUUCCCUGACUCAUCAGACCUCAGGAUGACCUUCCUUCCUGACACAGCCCUCCUGCGCAAGUAACUCACCAUCUUCCUGUGCCCAGCUACCACCAGACACCUGCAGGUGAGCUCACUGCAAGCUUGGCGUCGUGGUGCUGCGCACAGCCCUCUUCAGCACACAGUGUCAGCACCGUCCUAUAAAAUCUCCAGCCAGCCUUUGUUUCUUUGCAGUCGGCAUCUCUCAUGCAGGCUGCCCUGUCUCCUUGCAACCUAUUUUUCUACUUUCUCCAAUAAAUCAGCCUUUUUCUGCCUACAACUGUCUUGGUCCAAGGCCAGACCAUGUCCUCCCUG
rnacentral:lncRNA from 10 species